UACGGGGGGGGCAAGCGUUGUUCGGAAUUACUGGGCGUAAAGGGCUCGUAGGCGGCCAACUAAGUCAGACGUGAAAUCCCUCGGCUUAACCGGGGAACUGCGUCUGAUACAUGGAUGGCUUGAAUCCGGGAGAGGGAUGCGGAAUUCCAGGUGUAGCGGUGAAGUGCGCAGAGUAUCAGGAGGAACACCGGUGGCGAAGGCGGCUCACUGGACCGGUAUUGACGCUGAGGUGCGAAAGCGUGGGGAGCAAACAGGA
rnacentral:rRNA from 1 species